rnacentral:rRNA from 1 species
CUUCUUCGGAAGAUGAGUGGCGAACGGGUGAGUAAUACAUAGGUAACCUGCCCCUGUGCGGGGGAUAACAGGAGGAAACUCCUGCUAAUACCGCAUAGCCAUGAGCACCGCAUGGAGCUCAUGCCAAAUAUCCUUUCGGGGAUAGCGCAGGGAUGGACCUAUGGCGCAUUAGCUUGUUGGCGGGGCAACGGCCCACCAAGGCAACGAUGCGUAGCCGGCCUGAGAGGGCGGACGGCCACAUUGGGACUGAGACACGGCCCAGAUUCCUACGGGAGGCAGCAGUAGGGAAUUUUCGGCAAUGGGGGAAACCCUGACCGAGCAACGCCGCGUGAGCGAAGAAGGCCUUCGGGUCGUAAAGCUCUGUUGUAAAGGAAGAACGGCGCAUACAGGAAAUGGUAUGCGAGUGACGGUACUUUACCAGAAAGCCACGGCUAACUACGUGCCAGCAGCCGCGGUAAUACGUAGGUGGCGAGCGUUAUCCGGAAUCAUUGGGCGUAAAGAGGGAGCAGGCGGCCGCAAGGGUCUGUGGUGAAAGACCGAAGCUAAACUUCGGUAAGCCAUGGAAACCGGGCGGCUAGAGUGCGGAAGAGGAUCGUGGAAUUCCAUGUGUAGCGGUGAAAUGCGUA